UUUUUUUUUGCAUUUGGCCUCGUAAAAAAAAUUAUUUUCACAAAUAAUCUUAUCAAAUUUAUAAUUACAAUUUUGAUCCUAUCCCUGCCACGCAAGCACCACAUAAGCGCCACGCGAGUAAGAAUGGAGGUGCUGAAAUAAGUUGAACACGAUAAUUCAUUCAUCGUAUCUAAACACGGUGUUUAGGAACACGGUGGUUCACCGUAUUUAAGAAAAAUAUAUGUAUUGCGGAAAAGUUUAAGUAUUGAAAAGAAAAAAAUAUAAGAAGAAUAUAAAUAUGGAACAUAGUGAAACAUUCAUCGUGUUUGAACAAUGUGAACUAUUUAUUGUGUUUGAACACGGUGAAUAAUUCAUCGUGUUCAACUUAAUGUCCCUUCCUAGCCAGUUUGCGUGACACUGAUGCAUCGCCUGUGUGGCAAGGAUAGGACCAAUAUUAUAAUUAUAA
rnacentral:lncRNA from 1 species